AAGUCUGGUGCCAGCAGCCGCGGUAAUUCCAGCUCCAAUAGCGUAUAUUAAAAUUGUUGCGGUUAAAACGCUCGUAGUUGGAUAUCUGCUAAGGGGUUCCGGUCCUUCCCAGUGAAGAAUACGCGGAACUCUUCUUGGCAUUUAUUCAGGGAAGGUGUUUGCACUUUGUUGUGUGUCACGUGAUCUGAAUUUUUACUUUGAGGAAAUGAGAGUGUUUCAAGCAGGCUUUCGCCGUGAAUAUGAUAGCAUGGAAUAAUAGCACAGGACCCCUUUCCAAAGCUGUUGGUUUUUGGAACGAGGUAAUCAGAAUA
rnacentral:rRNA from 1 species